rnacentral:rRNA from 1 species
AUUCCAGCUCCAAUAGCGUAUAUUAAAGUUGUUGCGGUUAAAAAGCUCGUAGUUGGAUUUCUGUCGGUGAAUAUCAGUCCGCCCACAGCGGUAGGUACGUGAUAUUUCACCGGCAUCUUCCUGGGGAAUGUGUCUGCUCUUUAUUGAGUGGUACAUAAGCCAGGACUUUUACUUUGAAGAAAUGAGAGUGUUUCAAGCAGGCAUGCGCCGUGAAUACGUUAGCAUGGGAUAAUAGCAUCGGACCUCGUUCCAAAGCUGUUGGUUUCUUGGACCGAGGUAAAGGUGAAUAGGGAUUGUUGGGGGCAUUCGUAUUUGACUGUCAGAGGUGAAAUUCUUGGAUUUGUUGAAGACGGACUACUGCGAAAGCAUCUGCCAAAGAUGUUCUCAUUG